GCAUAUGCCUUUGCUUUUCAUUUUAUUUGUGAAUUCCCCGGAACAAGGCGAAACUAGGAAAAUAAUCAAAACAAGAUGGCACUUAAAUUCAAGAAGGCAUUAGAUAAAGUAAUAGAGAAAUCAGAACUCAAUGCGGUUGUUUUACAACCCAAUUGCAAAGAUACUGAAGAGAUUGUGAAGAAAAUAAUUCAAGCCUUCCACGACACAAAUUCUAUUUUCCGGGACACUCUAAUUGAUUUCAUACAAACAAGUACCAAAAACGAUAAUUAUAUCCCAUGGCUUAAGCUUAAAAUGUCAAAACAAAAAUGACUAAAAUAGGUGAAGAUGAAAACGCGACGUUCUGCGUGCUGAAGGCAGAUGCACAGCAUCCAGUUGUAGUGUCCAGUACAUUGUGAUGAAGUACACACUCAGUGCAUUUGUGGAGGAGAACUCAGAUAGAGGCAUGCCAGUAUUUGAAAUUAAACCUCUGGCACACAGUGUCUUUUCCAGUUUUCACUAAAAUUACAAUUUUAUAUAUGACUGCUUCGCCUAUUUUGUAUUGCAUUGUUAAGUUUGCUGGAAGAUAUACAUGGGAAUUCAGUCCAAGUCCACGAUGCUAUAUUUUUGGCUACCAGCACACCGACAGCUUCUCCUCAAUCUGAUAUCGAAUUGUUCCUCGAGGUUCUUAAACAAUUAAUUUCUGCGACAGCGAAUACCGGACGCUUGUUUUUCAUAUACAACAAGCUAAUGCAUUACAAACAAACAGACAGUGUGGACCUUGCUGAACCUGUGGCAUUGUUUGGCCUAAGUGAAUCUUAAUUACUACUACAAGUUUUAUCCAAAUUUUGUGUAUUUGAUACUUUUAAAUAAAACAAUCAUAAGCUGU